GAUGAAGGUUUUCGGAUCGUAAAGCUCUGUUGUUAGGGAAGAACAAGUGCAAGAGUAACUGCUUGCACCUUGACGGUACCUAACCAGAAAGCCACGGCUAACUACGUGCCAGCAGCCGCGGUAAUACGUAGGUGGCAAGCGUUGUCCGGAAUUAUUGGGCGUAAAGGGCUCGCAGGCGGUUUCUUAAGUCUGAUGUGAAAGCCCCCGGCUCAACCGGGGAGGGUCAUUGGUAAAACUGGGAAACUUGAGUGCAGAAGAGGAGAGUGGAAUUCCACGUGUAGCGGUGAAAUGCGUAGAGAUGUGGAGGAACACCAGUGGCGAAGGCGACUCUCUGGUCUGUAACUGACGCUGAGGAGCGAAUAGCGUGGGGAGCGAACAGGAUUACGAUACCCUGGUAGUCCACGCCGUAAACGAUGAGUGCUAAGUGUUAGGGGGUUUCCGCCCCUUAGUGCUGCAGCUAACGCAUUAAGCACUCCGCCUGGGGAGUACGGUCGCAAGACUGAAACUCAAAGGAAUUGACGGGGGCCCGCACAAGCGGUGGAGCAUGUGGUUUAAUUCGAAGCAACGCGAAGAACCUUACCAGCGUCUUGACAUCCUCUGACAACCCUAGAGAUAGGGCUUUCCCUUCGGGGACAGACGUGACAGGUGGUGCAUGGUUGUCGUCAGCUCGUGUCGUGAGAUGUUGGGUUAAGUCCCGCAACGAGCGCAACCCUUGAUCUUAGUUGCCAGCAUUCAGUUGGGCACUCUAAGGUGACUGCCGGUGACAAACCGGAGGAAGGUGGGGAUGACGUCAAAUCAUCAUGCCCCUUAUGACCUGGGCUACACACGUGCUACAAUGGACAGAACAAAGGGCUGCGAGACCGCAAGGUUUAGCCAAUCCCACAAAUCUGUAGUCUCAGUUCGGAUCGCAGUCUGCAACUCGACUGCGUGAAGCUGGAAUCGCUAGUAAUCGCGGAUCAGCAUGCCGCGGUGAAUACGUUCCCGGGCCUUGUACACACCGCCCGUCACACCACGAGAGUUUGCAACACCCGAAGUCGGUGAGGUAACCUUUAUGGAGCCAGCCGCCGAAG
rnacentral:rRNA from 1 species